GAUGAACGCUAGCGGCAGGCCUAACACAUGCAAGUCGAGGGAGAGGUUACCUUCGGGUAACCAAAACCGGCGCACGGGUGCGUAACGCGUAUACAGUCUGCCUUUCACAUAGGGAUAGCCCGAAGAAAUUUGGAUUAAUACCUAAUGGUAUAUAAGAGCGGCAUCGUUUUUAUAUUAAAGCUACGGUGGUGAAAGAUGAGUAUGCGUUCUAUUAGCUAGUUGGAGAGGUAACGGCUCCCCAAGGCGACGAUAGAUAGGGGUUCUGAGAGGGAUGUCCCCCACACUGGUACUGAGAUACGGACCAGACUCCUACGGGAGGCAGCAGUGAGGAAUAUUGGACAAUGGUCGGAAGACUGAUCCAGCCAUGCCGCGUGCAGGAUGAAGGUCCUAUGGAUUGUAAACUGCUUUUGUAAGGGAAGAAUAAGGAGUACGUGUACUUUGAUGACGGUACCUUACGAAUAAGCAUCGGCUAACUCCGUGCCAGCAGCCGCGGUAAUACGGAGGAUGCGAGCGUUAUCCGGAAUCAUUGGGUUUAAAGGGUCCGUAGGCGGGCUGAUAAGUCAGAGGUGAAAGCGCUUAGCUCAACUAAGCAACUGCCUUUGAAACUGUCAGUCUUGAAUGAUUGUGAAGUAGUUGGAAUGUGUAGUGUAGCGGUGAAAUGCUUAGAUAUUACACAGAGCACCGAUAGCGAAGGCAUAUUACUAACAAUUUAUUGACGCUGAUGGACGAAAGCGUGGGGAGCGAACAGG
rnacentral:rRNA from 1 species